UACGUAGGGACCAAGCGUUGUUCGGAUUUACUGGGCGUAAAGGGCGCGUAGGCGGCAUGACAAGUCACUUGUGAAAUCUCAGGGCUUAACCCAGAACGGCCAAGUGAUACUGUCGCGCUAGAGUGCGGAAGGGGCAAUCGGAAUUCUCGGUGUAGCGGUGAAAUGCGUAGAUAUCGAGAGGAACACCUGAGGUGAAGACGGGUUGCUGGGCCGACACUGGCGCUGAGUGCGCGAAAGCCAGGGGAGCAAACGGG
rnacentral:rRNA from 1 species